rnacentral:sRNA from 1 species
AACACCCACAAACAACGUCACGACGCAACGUGGUUAAACAGUACGUUUAUUAAAGUAACUGGGUGAACGACACCGGAGCGGACUGCAAAUCGCAACGCUACUUUCUCGAGUGCAGAUACUCUUCGAGACGGCUAAACAACGUGUCCAACUCGCUGAGACCUUUCCGCGUGCCGUUAUCCGAUUUCCUUUCCGCCUCCUGAGACAGCCGACUAAUCACGGACUUAUCUCCGCAACCUAACAGAGGCUGGGAGCCCGACAAAAGUAAAACAGCGUGCUAUGAACACGUUGUUACCUCUGCGCGGACAGCGCCGCCACAGAGACACUUACGCAUUGCCGCAUGUCUUUGUAGAUGGAUUCUAGCGUCGAGCGCAUACUAUGCAAUUCCGUCUUAAGUCCGGGAUAGACGUGGUCGCCUGCGGGGAACACGAUCUCCAGAUACCGCCUCAACAACCAGUCCAUGACGCUGCAUCCCCAACAGCCUUUGACCACCGUACCGUCGAGCCACACGGAGUAGUCGUCCUCGCGUUGCUACAAGAGGAAAACUACGUCACCCGACACGCGGAAAAGAAAGACCGUCGCAAUAAACCGUACCUACGUGACCUACCAACGUAGGUUUUACUCGAUGAAAGGUGACGCGGAGAUCUUGCAAUCUGGUCGCGUAAUCCUCUGGACGACACUGCGGCUUUGUAUUCUUUAUCGUCGUCGUCGUUGCCGGCUUCGCCUCCUCGGAAGCGCCUAGAAAAAAGACAAUCAGGACCAGAGAGGAAGAGACCAUCACCGACAGCAUCGCCGCAGCAUGCCGCCCCAAUCCGCCGCCCAACUGCGCGUCCCAGGUACCACCCGUAGACUGUCAGCCUCGCGAGGAGACACCGCGGACCGGGGAAACGGAUAAGUUUACGAACAGAAAUCUCAAGAGAAAGACGCUGACCCGAUAAGUACCGUCACGGAGACACGGUGGUUUUUAUUGAAUUUCCAGUGUAUCGAGCCACCGUGAUGCAGGUACGGUGGUUUUAUGUAAAGUGUCGCUAUCUAUAGGCGAUGUGUUCCCUGACGGUGUGUGUUUUUUUGGGGAUAGACAACGUGGUUCUUGUACGUGGUUUUUACCCUGCUCAAUAAAGUCACGUUUUCCUUACACGGUGUUGUGUC